rnacentral:rRNA from 1 species
ACACGCAGGCGGCGAGCGUUGUUCGGAAUCAUUGGGCGUAAAGGGCGUGCAGGCGGUCCUGCGAGACCCGCGUGGAAGACCCCGGCCCAACCGGGGGGAUGCGCUGCAAACUGCUGGGCUUGAGUACUGAAGGGGAUGCCGGCAUCCCAGGGGGAGGGGAGAAACCUGUAGCUAUCUGGAAGAACACCAAUGGCGAAGGCAGGCAUCUGGCCAUGUACUGACGCUGAGACGCGAAGGUACGGGGAGCAAACAGGUUUAGAUACCCUGGUAGUCCGCACAGUAAACGAUGUGCACCAGGUGGCGGGGGGUCGACCCUCGGUACCGUAGCUAACGCAUUAAGUGCACCGCCUGGGGAGUAUGCUCGCAAGGGUGAAACUCAAAGGAAUUGACGGGG